AUGGAAACCAAUGGGUUAUCUAUCAAGAGUCAGGAAACCGGGUCAAAAAGAAAGUGGGAGACUAAUGCAGACCUCAGCCGCCGCUUUUGCAGUAGCCAACAUGAAAGUCCAUGGGAAGGCGGUGCAGCGAAGCACAUCACAUGCCAUUCCUCUGAGUACCAAGGCCAGUCUUCGCAAGAGUGUCCACCAUGGAAUUAUGGUUCGCUCACUACCUCGCCAGGGAGGCAAAAAGAUUUCCGCUUUUGCAGUAACCAACAUAAAAGUCCAUGGGAAGGCGGCACAACAGAGCACAUCGCAUGGCAUUCCUCUUGGUACCGAGGCCACUCUUCACAAGAGUGGCCUACACGGAAUGGUGCUUCACUCACCCCCUCGCUAGGGAGGCAAAAUGAUUUCCGCUUUUGCAGUAACCAACAUACAAGUCCAUGGGAAGGCGGCACAACAGAGCACAUCGCAUGCCAUCCCUCUUGGUACCAAGGCCACUCUUCACAAGAGUGGCCUACACGGAAUGGUGGUUCACUCACCCCCUCACCAGAGAGGAAUGAUUUCCAUGUUUCAGGAGGUCAGUUCUUUCUGACAUUCAACCCAUACGAACAAGAUGUAGAAAGUAGGUACCUUCAGGACAAAAAGAACGGGGUAAUCACUUGUUUGGUCUGUGGCAAGGAAGGACAUUACAGUAGUAAGUGCCGUUUCAAGGAUCAAGAGCACAGAAUCAUUUGCACAGUCUGUGGCAAAAAUGGCCACUGUAGCAUGUGGUGUUGCCAGCAGAACAAGUCGGAGAAUCGAGCUUGCACCCGCUGUGGAGAGAUAGGGCAUAGUACUAGUACACAUGGUCUCAGUUGCUCAAGCUGCGACGAGCAUCAUGACGAUGGAGAGUGCCGAUUGAGCGAAGUUAAAUGCUUUAUUUGUGAAUGUCAGGAUCAUUAUCUUGCUCAGUGCCCCUUGAAUUCAGUAUUGACUGAGGCAGUUAAGGGUCAGAGAGACAACUUCCAAGCUGCUCUGCGGCUUGCACUAUCAAAACAAGGCAACCCAUCAUCUACACCUGCCAAGUGUUCUGCAAAAUCAGAAGGAAAAGUACUGACCGCCAACAACUCUAGUCCAAUAGUCACCGCAUACAACGCAAGCACAACAAUAUGCUUUACAUGCCGUGAAGAAGGUCACUUUGCUUUUCAGUGUCCUCAGAACAGCCCCGGCCUGUGCAUAGUAUUUGAAGAGAGCGGCACUAUAGCUACAUCCGCCAACCUGUCCAAAAAAUUAGAAGAAUGGGACCCUGAUACUGGUACUGCUAAACAAUCAUCAGAAAUGAAGCCGAUAUUAUACGAUCGAUGUUGCCCCUCAAAAGCAAAAGUACUGCCCCCCAACAAGUCUAGUCCAAUGGUUAGAACAUGUAAAACAAAAACAAAAGGGAAGAAAAAGAUGUGCUAUACAUGCCGGGAAGAAGGCCACUAUGCCCGUAUGUGUCCGCAGAGGUUCGGAGCUAUAUCUGGCAACACGUCAAAAGAACUAGAAGAGAGCAGCACUAUACCUACAUCCUCAAACAUGUCCAAAGUAUUGGAAGAACAGGACCCUGGUACUGCUAAACAGUCAUCAGAAAUGAAGCCGGCAUCGAUUGUUCAAUGUGUUAGCUGUGGUCAGGAAGGGCACAGGGCCAGGAGCUGUCCAACAGUGGUGUUUACAUGCUACAAAUGCAAUGAAGAAGGCCACACAGCCAAUGAUUGCCGUCAGAACCAAUCAUCAGAAAUGAAGCCGGCAUCAGUUGUUCGAUGUGUUAGCUGUGGUCAGGAAGGGCACAGGGCCAAAAGAUGUCCAACAGUGGUGUUUACAUGCUACAAAUGCAAUGAAGAAGGCCACUCAGCCAAGAAUUGCCCUCAGAACCAAUCAUCAGAAAUGAAGCCUAAAUCGAAUGUCUACUGUGUUAGUUGUGGUCAGGAAGGGCACAUGGCCAAGAGGUGUCCAACACGAGUGUUUACAUGCUUCAGAUGCAAUGAAGAAGGCCACAUAGCCAAGAAUUGCCCUCAGAAGCGUUAA
rnacentral:rRNA from 1 species